rnacentral:tRNA from 1 species
GAAGGUAUAGCACAGUGCUAGGGUACAUGCCUAGCAUGCAUGAGGUCCUGGGUUCAAUGCCCAGUGCCUCCA